GGGGGGCUAUACAUGCAAGUCGAGCGGACAGAAGGGAGCUUGCUCCCGGAUGUUAGCGGCGGACGGGUGAGUAACACGUGGGUAACCUGCCUGUAAGACUGGGAUAACUCCGGGAAACCGGAGCUAAUACCGGAUAGUUCCUUGAACCGCAUGGUUCAAGGAUGAAAGACGGUUUCGGCUGUCACUUACAGAUGGACCCGCGGCGCAUUAGCUAGUUGGUGGGGUAAUGGCUCACCAAGGCGACGAUGCGUAGCCGACCUGAGAGGGUGAUCGGCCACACUGGGACUGAGACACGGCCCAGACUCCUACGGGAGGCAGCAGUAGGGAAUCUUCCGCAAUGGACGAAAGUCUGACGGAGCAACGCCGCGUGAGUGAUGAAGGUUUUCGGAUCGUAAAGCUCUGUUGUUAGGGAAGAACAAGUGCGAGAGUAACUGCUCGCACCUUGACGGUACCUAACCAGAAAGCCACGGCUAACUACGUGCCAGCAGCCGCGGUAAUACGUAGGUGGCAAGCGUUGUCCGGAAUUAUUGGGCGUAAAGGGCUCGCAGGCGGUUUCUUAAGUCUGAUGUGAAAGCCCCCGGCUCAACCGGGGAGGGUCAUUGGAAACUGGGAAACUUGAGUGCAGAAGAGGAGAGUGGAAUUCCACGUGUAGCGGUGAAAUGCGUAGAGAUGUGGAGGAACACCAGUGGCGAAGGCGACUCUCUGGUCUGUAACUGACGCUGAGGAGCGAAAGCGUGGGGAGCGAACAGGAUUAGAUACCCUGGUAGUCCACGCCGUAGACGAUGAGUGCUAAGUGUUAGGGGGUUUCCGCCCCUUAGUGCUGCAGCUAACGCAUUAAGCACUCCGCCUGGGGAGUACGGUCGCAAGACUGAAACUCAAAGGAAUUGACGGGGGCCCGCACAAGCGGUGGAGCAUGUGGUUUAAUUCGAAGCAACGCGAAGAACCUUACCAGGUCUUGACAUCCUCUGACAACCCUAGAGAUAGGGCUUUCCCUUCGGGGACAGAGUGACAGGUGGUGCAUGGUUGUCGUCAGCUCGUGUCGUGAGAUGUUGGGUUAAGUCCCGCACCGAGCGCAACCCUUGAUCUUAGUUGCCAGCAUUUAUUUGGCACUCUAAGGUGACUGCCGGUGACAAACCGGAAGAAAGUGGGGAUGACUUCAAUCAUCAUGCCCCUUAUGACCUGGGCUAACCACUGCUACAUGGAAAGAACAAAGGCUGCCAG
rnacentral:rRNA from 1 species